CACACACACAUAUAUAUACAACGGGAUUCUUUCAGUUUCCGUUUACCAAAUCCACUCACAAGGCUUUGGUCGACCCAAGGCUAUAGUAGAAGACAGUUUCCCAAGGUGUGACGCAGUUGAACUGAACCCGGAACCAUGUGGUUGGUAAGCAAGCUACU